UGACCUCAAAUCAGACGCGAUUUCCCGCUGAACUUAAGCGUAUCACCAAGCGGAGGAAAGGAAACUAGCAAAGAUUCCCUCAGUAUCGGCGAAUGAACAGGGAAGAGCCCAGUGCCGAGGCCUGUGGCCAAUAGGUCACUAGGCAAUGUGGCGGUCAGGUCGUUCCGCGGAGCUGCUGCUCCAUUCCAGGUCCAGCAAUGGGUAACGUAGUGCUGACAUGACCUGUUGAGGUGGAGAGGCAGAAAUGACGGUAUUUUCCUGGAUAGACCUUUGAGUCGGGUUGUUUGUGAAUGCAGCUCAAAGUGGGUGGUAAACUGCAUCCAAGACUAAAUACUUGCACGAGUCGGAUAGCGAACGAGUAACGCGAUGGAAAGUUUAAAAGGACUUUGAAGAGGGAGUAAACUAUGUGUGAAACCUCUCAAGCGUAAACGGGUGAAGUUGAACUGUGAGCUCUGUGGAUUUAGCUGGUGAGUGUGGUUUGGGCUUGGUAAAGUUGGUUCAUGCUAGGCGUAUGCGUGGCAGCAGGUCUCCAUCUUCGGGUGGAGAUGGGCGAUGCACUUGUCAAGUGCUACGCGCUUCGAGUUUAUUCGGGUCAGCUUGCCAGUGCACGUUCGCAGAGUGGUCACCACGACCGGCAUCGCUGUCCUGCUUUGUGGUUAAAUUGGUCUUGCAUUGUCCUUGUGGCUUUGUCUAGUCGGAAUGGCUUACUUGUGGCUCCCUGUAGGCGUUCGGUCAUCGGAUGUAAUCACCUCACCAUAUCGGUUAUGUGCAGUACGUCGGAGACAGCGGCUUGUGGUGUGUGCGUACCAGUCGGUCGGCGUGUUCGGGUUCGGUUAUCUACCUGUGUUCACAGGCCCAAUGAUAUUUCGGAUUCGUUCCGUCAGCGGUUGCGUGCGUGUCACUGUUUCCAGGGCCAAUAGCUUGUAGGGUUGCGGUAGACUAUCAACCCAACCUGUCUUGAAACAAGGACCAAGAAGAGUAACAUGUGCGCAAGUCAUUGGCCGUGACGAAACCCAAACGCGAAGUGAAAAUAAAGGUUUGGCUUGUCUGGACAGAAGUGAGAUCCUGUGUGCUUCAUUUGUGGUAUCACCAAGCAUCGACCGGCAGGAGCAUCACUGGCCUGUCCAAUGGUUUGAUUACCCUAUUCAGAGUUUGUCAUCGGAGCGGAGUAUAAGCGUACAUGUUGAGGCCAAAAGACGGUGAACUCCGUUUGCGCAGGUUGAAGCUAGAGGAAACUGGUGGCACUGGAGCUUCGGAUCUAUACCGGACCGUCACUGCAAGCUGAGUCAGUAGUAUGUGGUGUGAGUACAAGCCACAAGACUCAGGCACGGAGUUUGGAUGUCAAGUAGGAGGGUCGCCGUGGUGAGCAGGAAUUUCAGGCGUUAGCCUGAGCGGAACCGUCACGGACGCCGAUUUUGGUGGUGGUGGUGGUGGUGGUGGUAGCUAAUAUUCAAAUGAGACGUCCGAUGUAGAGAAGGGUCCCGCGCCACGGGUGCAGAUCUUGGUGGUAGUAGCAAAUAUUCAAGUGAGAACCUUGAAGGCCGAGGUGGAGAAGGGUUCCAUGGGAACAGCAGUUGGCCAUGGGUCAGGCGGUCCUAAGUGAUCCUUUAACUCGGAAAAGAGACGGGGUGUCUGGUAUUGUCAGGAUUGCUGCUGAUGUACCGUUGCGGGGCAGCCCCCUGUAGCAAAAAGGAAUCAGGUUACUAUUCCCGCGGAAAUUGGUGCGUUCUGUUCUCGCACGGGUUUGCAUGUAGCACGGUAACGCAGCCGACCGUGGUGACGUCUGCAAGAGUUCUCUUCAUUAGGAGUGCGUCAUCCCCUGGAGUCGGGUUGUCCGGAGAUAGGGGACUAGCCUCCAUAAAGCACCACAUUUCUUGUGGUGUCUGGAACGCUCUUGUCGACCCUUGAAAAUCCGAGCGAGGCAACGUAAGUUUCGUGGCAGGUCGCCAAUUUCAAUUUACCAGCCAUAAACCAUGUGCCCUAGGCACAUUGGUCCCAGCCGCUACAGUUUCGAUCACCGGAAAACGGGAGGGUGUGGGACAUGCAUCCAAGCCUUGGAGGCGAUGGCAUGUUAAGUUUAUUCGGAAACUGAGUAGCUACGCAUCGAAGCCGUCAUGAAGAGACGGCCUUACCGUGGUGUGACGGUUUGCGCACCUCAGCGACCCAUUGAGCUAUACUGGGGGUGUCCCCGCGACAAAGAUGGGGAUGAAGUUCUCAGUCAGCGCUUGUCUAAUCUUUCUGCUUGCAUCUGUGCAAAGGAAUCUGUUCCAUAAAACUGGGGAGAGUCGGUGGUAGUGCCGAUUUUCAAAAAAGGGUUCCUAAUGAGUGUGGUGACCUCAGGGAGAUCAGCUUGACCCGUCGUAACGAGACUGUUGGCGUCACUUGUGCUUCCUCGUCUUACGUGAGAGACAUCGACUCGAGAGCAGCAAGUGGGAUUUCGGCCUGGUAGCGGUUGAGUUGACCAAAUUUUCACACUCAGUUGCUAGAACAAUGCCAUAUGUAUAAGCGACCCACAAUUAUAGUACUGGAUUUCCAAGGCGCAUUUGACUCAGUUGACCGGCCUGUUCUGCUUGACACGCUUGCCCACCAAGGAAUGCCCCGGAAGUUUGUGAACUUAAUAAGCUCUUUGUAUUAUCGGGCUUCCGGACGUGAGAGUAUACAGCGAGCUCUCAGGGAUCCCCACUCUCUCCACUCCUAUUUAAUUUCGUGAUCGAUGAAAUCACGGGAGGAACGCUGGAAGGUCUCCAAAACCCCGGUGUUUAAAUAGCCUGUGACGAAAAGCUUGUCGAUCUGGAAUAUGCAGACGACGUCGUUCUCAUCUCCAAAGAGGAGGAGAAGGCAGAAGUGUUUUUAGAUGAACUGACCAAAGUCAUCCCGUUCUUUGGUAUGCACUUCACACCCACAAAGUAUAAGGUCAUGCUCGUGGACAUGCAGUCACUGAAGACGCCACGUACAAUCCACGGAGAGGCACUGGAAGUUGUGGAGCGUUUUACGUAUCUUGGAAGUUGUAUGAGUUUUGAUUGUAGUGCACGAAUCUGCAAGGCCCGGGUCGCGUCUGCUAAUUUGAGACAUGUAUGGCGUCAGAGUGGUGUAUCCCUGAAUCUCAAGGGACCAGUGCGGGCUGUUUUGUUGUAUGGCUGUGAGACUUGGCCUGUUCGAGCAGCGGAACUGAGACGUCUUCAGGUGUUCGACAAUCGUUGUCUCAGAACCAUAGUUCGUGUGGGUUGGUGUCGGCGUAUCCGUGACGAGGCAAUUAGAAAGCGAGUUUUCGGUUGUGCAACGGGUACUUCCAUUGAAGAAUGUGUCAAACACAUGGGACAUGUGUUGCGUAUGCCGAACCAUCUUUGCCGAAGGGAGUGUUGUUUCCCAUGCCCAAAUCAGAGUGGCGGAAGCAGAGAGGAGGUCAACCUUGAUCUGACAGAAGGGUAUGAAGGAGAUUACAAAACGUUUGGGUGCUGUCGGUGCUACUCGCCUUCCAGGAUGGGGACCGCGUGAUCCCCACUGUACCUGGCUGCAGACACUGCAAGAUAUGGCUGCCAACCGAUGUCAGUGGCGUUCUUGUUGUCAGUUUCUAUCCAGAUUGGCUGAAUGAGUGACUGGAGGUGUAGGCGCCUAGGAAUGAUUGUUGUAACCUAGCACCAAGUCCCUUCCCCGUCCACCUUUAUUCUUUUCUUCACAAUAAGGCUUUCAAACAAAACAUGGUUGUACGGUAGUGAAGCAUCGGUGUUGAACACUGAUGUAAUGCUGUCGAUGUUGAUUAUGAUGACGCAUUGCGAUAGCUCUGAUGCACACGCGCCACUGACUGCGCGAUUGGGCCAUUUCUGACAAUGCCAUGAACCAUGGGUGAGUUGACUCCGGUUCGAGAAGUAAUCCUAUCUCCAGCCAGUCCCCCGGAACUUAUACAGCUACCCAAGUAAACAGGUUUAUCUACUACGUUGAUUGGCUUGCCUGCAAGCAUGAGGUAUGGGUUUGAUCCCACCCAGUCUUGUGCAAGCACUUUAGAUUUGCAGGUGCGAAACGCAUGCGAAACGCGUACCAGAAUUAUUUAGGUUAUCUGGUAUGGUGACGAAACGUUUGCAAAUCAAUUGCCAAGCUCGGCGAACAGACCAACAGCCACUUUAUCAAAUACCAACUAAUGCACGCGAGCUACCAGUAUUUCAACACAUUAUUUAGGUUAUUUAAAAUCGUCUGCAUACUCACUGUCUGUGAGCGAAAUUUCUGGAAGCAUUUCGACUCCCGAGGUUUCAGAGAUAGGCAGAGAAAUUUCAAGCAGCAUAUCAAUAACAUACUUGAAGAGGAAAGGUGGCAGGUCGUACCCAUAUCUGAGUCAAGUCUCCAGGGUGAACAGCCUCUGGUAAUUGAACAACUUAGUUAAGGGAAGUUGGCAAACUGGGUCCGUAACUUCGGGAAAACGAUUCGCUCUGACGGCCGAGUCAAAUGGGCUGGAGUCAGAUACGUGUUGGCGCAGUUGGGGGCUGGUUUUUUUGUUGCUGCGCCCGCUUCAGUGCAGUUCCAGCUGUAGUUCUGCUUUGCUGGCAGCGUGCAUGGGCAACUGUAUGCGUGUCGACAGUUUUGCUUCCUUCGUUUGGCGCUCAACGGCUAGCUCAGAACUGGCGCGGACCAGAGGAAUUCGACUGUCUAAUUACAGCCAAACACUGUGAUGUCUGCUGACCGGUUUUGACGCAGUGUGAUUUCUACCCAGUGCUCUGAAUGUCAAUGUGAGGAAAUUCAAUGAAGCGCGAGUAAACGGCGGGAGUAACUAUGACUCUCUUAAGGUAGCCAAAUGCCUCGUCAUCUAAUUAGUGACGCGCAUGAAUGGAUUAACGAGAUUCCUACUGUCCCUAUCUACUAUCUAGCAAGACCACAGCCAAGGAAGCGGGCUUGGCAGAAUUAGCGGGGAAAGAAGACCCUGUUGAGCUUGACUCUAGUCCGACUUUGUGAGGAGACAUGACGGGUGUAGAAUAAGUGGGAGAUGAGCUUCGGCUUGUCGCCAGUGAAAUACCACUACCGUCAUCGUUUCUUUGCUUAUUCAGUAAAACGGGAACAAUAUUUGGGUCCUAAACACAUCCCAGCAUGCGUUGUUUCGCUGCGGUGUCGGUAUCUUGGUCAUGCCAGAUGAGUCGUGACUUCGGUCGCGGCGCUUGAGUCUGGAUGCGAGGUGCGACCCGUUCUGACUGAGGCGGUACACCUCUCUAAUGGUAACGCAGGUGUGCCAAGGUGAGCUCAGCCAGGACGGAAAACUGGCUUGGAGUAAAAUGACAAAAACUUACUUGAUUUUGAUAUUCGGAAUUUGAAACAAGAGGUGUCAAAAAGGUCACUACAGGGAUAACUGUGACCAAACCUUCAUAGCGACGUUUUUCUGAUCCUUCGAUGUCGGCUCUCCCUAGCGUUGUGGCUCAGGAUUCAUCAAGUGUGUGAUUGUCACCCAGUAAUAGGGGAAGUGAGCUGGGUUUAGACCGCCGUGAGACAGGUUAGCUUUGCGCUACUAAUCAGUGCAAUGACUCCGUGUAGUACAAACUGGUCGUUGCUAUUGUAAUCCUGUUUAAUACAAAAGGAACCACAGGUUCAGACAUUUGGUAUAUGUGCCUGGCCGAAAGGCCAAUUUUGCGAAGUUAUCAUCUGAGGGAUUAGGACUGAAUGCCUCCAAGUCUGAAUCUCGUGGCAAGCCUUGCUUACGUUUUUCUUUUGGCGCUUGGCCCAGACUAUGUAUCUGGCCUGGUCCAUUAGGUCUGGUAUAAUGCCAGAGCGGUUAUCGGAACCGUAUACCAGACCUCGGUGUGCGAAGGAGGACACGAUAUCUAAAUGCAGAAUGAGCGUGAAGGCACUUAAUCUUCAAUAGACGACUUAAUUGGUCGUUAGUUUAUUCGCUGAGCUGGGCAAUUUGAUUGCAAACGUUUCAUCACCAAUCGAGGUGACAUCAUCGGUGCGUUGGUAGGGAGCGACCAUCUAUACUACCUGAGCUACCAACAUUCUCCUCUAUAGCAGACGACUUAAUUUUUUGUCCGAGAGGCGUACGCGUCCGAGGAUCUAUCACACUGCGAGACCUUGAGCUCCGACCCUAUAUGAUAUGAUGAUU
rnacentral:rRNA from 11 species